rnacentral:lncRNA from 1 species
AUCCUGGUGGGCCCAUGGACUGCCCUAUUUGAUACCCCUCCUUAUAUAGUUUUUCACAAAAAAUUAAUAUCUGACUCACCUAACCUAAAAACUUGUUCCACUGUGCGGCGCGCGGAGAGGACCCGAGCCCCGGCAGCGGACCCGGACCCGGACCAACCCGUGGCCGCGACUCAGGGGCCAACGCCACUCCAGUUGUCCACCGCCGCACCGAGGGCGCGCAAGAAACCUCCUGCCUGAUCCCCCAUUCCCAAGCUCGACCCCCAAGUGACCCCCUCGCAAGCAACCCCCUAAUUUCCCGUUCCCUCUUCGUAAAUUUUAAGCAUGUCCCCUUAAUCGUGUUAAGUGAAGUGCCGAGUUUUUCGUGUCUCUAGGAUACUGCCCGGAUACUCGCCGGCUUUUUGAUAAACAUCGCAGAUGUAAGAUGUGGUGGCACUUGUUCCUGUUAGCACUUAUACCUUAUUCAUUAUGUCACACAAGACAACGAUCUCGCUACGUUGGAUCUCGCCCAGCCUUCAGAAGGGAUUUAGUUGAGUGGAAUCCUUGGCAAACCUAUGAUGCCCAAUAUUUUAAUUUAGCGAAAUCGAGGAGGCCGCAUUAUGGGGCUGACCUCCUUCCCCUGCGGUCUGCCGUAGAAAAAAAACCACCACCCAGUGAAAGAGGUCCAAAUGAUAACUUUCUACGGGAUGCAGUCGAAAAAGUACCUUACCCACCGAUUGACCGAUACUCCGGGUCUUUUUCGGGUAAUUCAUCAAGCUUUCAUUUUCUAUUCUUUAACAAAACACCAUAAUAUGUAUUUUUACCUACAAAGUAGAUACUGGUGAUUACUGUAUU